GUAUUUCCGACCCCCAAAUGACCCCUUCUGUGUCCCUGACCCUCCACUCUAAGGUAAAGUACACUGAAACUCAGAGGUUAGUAAUGGUUAAUUGUGUUUCGCUGGGCACAUACAGUCAUCAAACUAAAAGUUCAGGUGGGAAAAUUCCAGGCCAAUCUAAGAGCCUGAGAGAGGGUCUUUGGCUUCCCUCAAAUCAAACCCAGUAGAUCUCUAUUGUAUCUGCAAGGCUGGCACUGAGUGGAGAAAACCUUGGGAAACCACAAGACAAAUUCAAGGUUGGCAGUGAGGGGAGAACAUACCUUGCAUAUCCUCUGCACCCCUGUACCCUGUCCUUGUUUUCCCUCCCUCCACUCACGCAUGAAUGCAGAUAUGGUUUUGGAAGGUGAUUCCAGAUAACUCAGGCUGUCAGGCUGCAUUUGUUCUGACUCAUCACCAGGCUGGGUAAGCCAGCAUAAGGAGCCUAGAGGGAGAUUGGGCAAAGGAAGGCAGUAACAACUGGAGCUCCUGGAGAGGAAGACCUGGAAAUCUAGACCCAGUCAGCUCAGAGUCCAUCUGAAGGCCGAAGACACUGCUCACUGCCCUGUGGGAAUCCCCAGCCUUUCCGAGUUGUCUUGGCACGGUUCCACCAUGACGUUAUCUCCCAGCAUUCCAUUGUUUACCGUACUCUUCCCAGCCAGGCUGCCUCACAACUGCCCUGGGACAACAACUGCUGUCACCAAUAUUCCCAUCACACAGAUGAGUUAGCUAAGACCCUGAGGUCUAGUGAUUUGCCCAGGGUUGCACAAUGGGUAGAAGAGAACAGGGACUUCACUCUAAGUCAACUCGUUCAAGUCUGCCUUUCCUUCCUCUUCACCCCAUGGGCAAAUGACUGCCCAGGGUUCUCUAGUUCCACUUAAUUGAUGUCUGCUCAUGUGACUACAACCAAGCACCUGGAAUUGGGUAAUGUCAAAGGAAAUAAAGAAAUGGAGGACAAUACCUCACCCUGAAGUUACAAGCAGAGGAGGUUCUAAUCCGAGGUGGAUAGCCUCUGGUCUCUGCUUUCACUCAUGGCUAGAACCUCACCCUCCUCCACUCAACGAGCAGGUACCAAACACCCGCCAAGCCCUGUGUGCUGAGGUUUCCGUGGCAACAGCCUAGUUGAGGACCUUUGCCUUCACGAAUGAUGCUUUAAAGCAAGAUGUGUGGGAAAGAGUGACACGAAUGGGGAUGUGCUGAAACUCAGGCAGAUGCACACAGAGCUGGUCUCAGGUACCAGAUUCUGAGUCUAUAGAUGUCAGGCUGGCUUCUACAAGUCAGCCCACGACUUCCAAAUCAAUCCCGGGGCCUGUCUCUCCUUAUCAGAUCAUAUGAAAACAAGUCCCUUAUCACAAAACCAUGAGAGACAACACAUGAGAAAUCCGGCAAAGGAAGGACAGAUUGGAGGCCUGAGGACAAUUAUCGCUAAUAAGCCAGAGACCCGUCUCCGAACCUGAGAAAGGGCAGUUUCCAUCCAUGCUGGAAUGAUGUGGAGAGGCAGCGUUACUGUCAUGACUUCGGGGUCGAACUAGAGACUCUUGUAACUCGAAAUUAAAUUACACUCAUUAUCAUGAGCAAGAAUUUCAGCUUCCAGGACAUCAGUAUGUUCACAUGUGGCUUUUAUAUUUCAAAAGAUGAUACAGUCUGAAGCCAGCCCAGCCCAGCCCACAGAGAUUGUUCUCUUUGAACCUGAUGCCUUUGACAUCUUCAGACAUUGCUUGUUUGGCAGUUAACCGUGCACUGCCUGUGAACUGGAGUUGUUUUCCUUCAUUGUCUCUUAUCUCUCCCAGGGUUGAACUUCCCAUGCCACAGUGAUUCAUCCAGCAGCUGGUUUCCAGGGAUCUCAUUUUACCUUUGUACUGUCUUAACCUUGGACAGCAAAGUAGCGUUCGGUUAGUCCACAAUUAGUUGGCAUCUGUCACAUUCUGGGCACUCCACAGACAGUGGAAAGGUGGCAGGCUUAGAGAGUGUACUCUUAAGGAAUGAAAAUAUAUUGCCAUCACUGAGAUGAAUAUAUUGUGAGAGAUUAAGAUAAGAGUAAAGGGAGAGAACGGCUCAAUUCUGUACGAACGUAUCACUAGAAAACCCAGCUUGGAUUGGAAAGAACCAAAGACUUCUCGAAGAACACGGUAUCAGAGCCCAGGUGGGAAGCAACAGUGGGAAGAAUGUCCGAAGGCCAUGGGCAGGAGCAAACACGGAUCACUACCUGUGCUAGGCAGUGUGCACUCUUCAUUGACUUGCAACAAUUACCAAAGCAGAGAAAGCAAGGUGGACAGUGGGUCCUUCAAAACUCUCCUUAAAGGCGACGGAAUGAGUGUGUGCAGCUCGGGUCUACAGAAUCAGCCCUGUACAAUGGAUGUGCUUCUCACCUGCAGGGUGGGUAUCCUUCCCUAAACGGUUCAUCACAAACCCCAGGACUGAAGAGAUUCAAUCGCUGUACACCUGUAUGGGGUGUGUGUGUGUGUGUGUGUGUGUGUGUGUGUGUGUGUGUGGUGUGUGUGUCAGUUUUGGAGCAAUAGGCCAAGUGACAGGGAUGGAAUGGUAGAGCAGAGUAGUUCAAGUUAUGGUAAUCAGGAAGCGGCGAGAGAAGGUGUCAGUCCCCAUGGCUAGCCUUCUCAUUCUUUAUCUUUUAAUGUAUGAAGACCCCCCCUACCAGGCCAUCAGAUGGUGCUACCCAUGUACAGGAUGGGUCUGCCCCCACUCCACCGUCUAAUUAGAUAAACCUUCAGAAAAGCUGGCCAACAACACAAAAGGUUCCUUGGUGUCCUAAGUGGUUCUAAAUCCAACCAACAGAAAAGAUCAACCAUCAUCCUCAAGUGCGUUAUAAAGUGCACAGUACAGAGAAAACCUUGAAGGGUUAAAGUGACAGUUAAACUGAAGGUUUUCCAAGUCUUGCCUUGACGGAAUGCUGAUAACAGAAUCACCAGCUCCGAGGACAGUAAUAACGGAGAAGCACCAGUGGCUCUCUUUGUUCUCCAGAAUUAAAACGAAAAUAGAAAGAGUGACACAGGACCCAACUGAGCCUCUCACCCAGGUCCACUCUGCUCUUCACAAGGACUUGGGCCAAUAAACCCUCUCUGCUCCUUUGUUUCUCCUAAAA